ACCGCCAUUUUACAAAUAACCGCGCAGCGUGUUUGCGUGGUCGGUUGCAUGCGAGGAGGAAGGAACAGUCUUCAUACUUAAGUUCGUUAAGUUUAGUUUUUCGCUUGGUUGUUUGUUGUUUUCUUCGACGAAAUGAGUUACGGUCGGCCGCCGCCCGACGUGGAGGGCAUGACCUCGCUCAAAGUUGACAAUUUGACAUACAGAACGUCUCCAGAAACGCUGAGGCGCGUUUUCGAAAAGUACGGGCGAGUGGGAGACGUGUAUAUUCCUCGUGAUAGAUACACAAAAGAAAGCCGCGGUUUUGCCUUCGUGCGAUUUAUGGACAAGCGUGAUGCCGAAGACGCAAUGGACGCUAUGGAUGGAGCUUUGCUCGAUGGUCGCGAAUUGAGGGUGCAAAUGGCACGCUACGGGCGCCCACCAGAUUCCCAUUAUGGGCGCCGAGGAGGGCCUCCGUCGCGAAGAUAUGGCGGUGGAGGCGGAGGAGGAGGCGGCGGCGGUGGCGGCGGCGGCGGUGGUGGAGGUUACGGACGCAGAAGCCGAAGCCACAGUCCACGCCGCCGUAGACGCAGCCGCUCCAGGAGCAGGAGUCGGUCCCGCUCCCGUAGCCGGUCCCGCUACAGCCGCUCAAGGUCCAGGUCCUACUCACGGUCCCGGUCCCGAUCCAAGACCCGUACGCCGCGGAGGAGCAAGUCCAAAUCGGCAUCAAGAUCCCGCUCUCGGUCAAAGUCCAAGUCCCGUUCCAGAAGCCGCACUCCACCCUCCAACAAAGGCUCCAAGUCGAGGUCACGAUCAAGAAGCCGACCCAAGUCUCCCGAAGACAACGAAACGGCUCCGUCCUGAGGAGAAGCUGCUGGUUCCGGUUUGCAUAAGAGGAGGUUGGGGUGCAGGUUGAGCAGUUAGUGUGAGAGCCGGCCAUUGGGGCACCCUGCUGUGAAUGGCGGUUGCUAAGGAGCAGGUCGGUGUCUUUGAGUGUUGAGGUGGUUUUGAGCGAAAUGAAAUAUGGUUGAGGACAUCCCAAUGAUGCGAGCAGUCCGCCUUGGGUACUUUCGCCGGUCUGGAUAUCGAAUAAAAGGCGCCGUUGCGCUGCUGUUGAGUUUUGCUGGUUAGCUGUAAAAGGUGGCGUGAUGCCGUGCUGAGUGCUUGGCUGUUUCCAGUAUUCUCCAGGUUGCCCCCGUGUAACGCCUGUUAACGCCAGUGAUUUGACGGUUUUUAAAGCACACACUUUUGGCUACGGCUGGUCGUCCAUGUGGUUUUUUGAUUUUGUAGAAUGGUAUACCGACAUCCCUGACGUUUCAAAACUUCCCUCCCUUUCCUCUCCUCUCCUCCUCUUCUCUCUCUCUCUCUCUCCUCUUCCUCAUAUCCUCUUCCUAGACUCUCCUCAACUUUCCCCCUUUUCCUCAAAUAAGUAGAGCGCAUCUAGCCAGAUUAAUCUUCAAAUUACAUGAGUACUACCAUCUUGUAUCAUGACUUCAUUAAUGUACUUGCAUUUGUGAACCAUACAUAUGGUCUAUGUAACUGCUACAAUGAAUGCUAUUAAACUUGUUUUGGUGUA